UUUACAGAGGAAUAGCCUUUAGAAAUGAAGAUUAAUGCCUCAUGGUAUUGUAGACUGGCAUCAGUUUAUAAUUAAAGAUUUAUCGGUAAAAGAUGGCUAUGCGUCCUAUUAGUUAGUUGGUAAGGUAACGGCUUACCAAGACAGCGAAGGUAGGGGUCCUGAGAGGGAGAUCCCCCACACUGGUACUGAGACACGGACCAGACUCCUACGGGAGGCAGCAGUGAGGAAUAUUGGACAAUGGAGGAGACUCUGAUCCAGCCAUGCCGCGUGUAGGAAGAAUGCCCUAUGGGUUGUAAACUACUUUUAUACAGGAAGAAACACUGGUAUGUAUACC
rnacentral:rRNA from 1 species